rnacentral:rRNA from 1 species
GUGAGGAAUAUUGGACAAUGGGCGCAAGCCUGAUCCAGCCAUGCCGCGUGCAGGAAGACGCAUCUAUGGUGUGUAAACUGCUUUUGUACGGGAAGAAACACUCCCUCGUGAGGGAGCUUGACGGUACCGUAAGAAUAAGGAUCGGCUAACUCCGUGCCAGCAGCCGCGGUAAUACGGAGGAUCCAAGCGUUAUCCGGAAUCAUUGGGUUUAAAGGGUCCGUAGGCGGUUUAAUAAGUCAGUGGUGAAAGCCCAUCGCUCAACGAUGGAACGGCCAUUGAUACUGUUAGACUUGAAUUACAUGGAAGUAACUAGAAUAUGUAGUGUAGCGGUGAAAUGCUUAGAUAUUACAUGGAAUACCAAUUGCGAAGGCAGGUUACUACUUGUGGAUUGACGCUGAUGGACGAAAGCGUGGGGAGCGAACAGGAUUAGAUACCCCAGUAGUCC